rnacentral:misc_RNA from 1 species
CUAAGGAAUAAAACGGAAACCUACACAUAGUUGAAACUUUGUUUAGUUUUGAGGGGUUUACCCUCAGAGCUUGUACUUUGAAAACUAAAUAAUAUCAUUUUUCUUUAUUUAACAAAACAAACCGAGAACACCGCGUUAUUUUGAGUUGUUUAAUGAAGAUAAUCGCUAACUCAAUUAAUCCGAUGAUCACUUAGUGAUCAUCAA